CAGAGGGUGCAAGCGUUGUUCGGAAUCACUGGGCGUAAAGCGCGCGCAGGCGGAGAUGCAAGUCGGAAGUGAAAUCCAGCCGCUCAACGGCUGGGCUGCUUCGGAUACUACAUCUCUAGGGACCGGUAGAGGCUGGUAGAAUUGCAGGUGUAGCGGUGGAAUGCGUAGAGAUCUGCAAGAAUACCCGUGGCGAAGGCGGCCAGCUGGGCCGGGUCCGACGCUGAGGCGCGAAAGCGUGGGGAGCAAACAGGAUUAGAUACCCUGGUAGUCCACGCCGUAAACGAUGGGCACUAGGUGCUGGGGGGAGCGACCCCGUCAGUGCCGCAGCUAACGCGAUAAGUGCCCCGCCUGGGAAGUACGGCCGCAAGGCUG
rnacentral:rRNA from 1 species